GUUUAUGAUCCCGAAAUACUAACCACUAAUGACGAUUCCGCAGCACCUUCUUCAGUAGCGAAACGUGUUCAGCAACGAAUUAUAGCAAAUUUUUUUUUAAUAUUCGUAUAACUUAAUAUAUGCCGUCAACGAUCGUCUCGAUGAUAGGCCAGCCAUCCACCAAGAGACGCAAAUUUGUUCAAUGCACGUUAACUAACGCCUUUAUUUGUCAUCAAUUUUUUUUUUCAUCUUCCUCUGCACAAUAAAAUGGGCAACGCUUUUUGCAUUAUAUGUAAUGCAUAUUCAACAAAUCAACAGUAUUUAUUUUUCACGUUCAAUGAACAUACUUGGCGAGCCGUUAAAUGGCACCGCUAAAACUGCGAACUAACCAGCUAAAUUUAUUGAUUUUUAUAGCCUCAAUGAAAAAGUUCCACACCUGCGCCGGCUUUAGUAGCAAUGUAUGCACGAUUGCUCGUUCAUACGAAAUCGAACCGGUGGACAUUAAAAGGAUUCUUGCGUAAGCUAUUCGGAAGAAGCAAGCUAGGGCUGUGCAAUUAAUUGAUUAUUCAAAACCUUAAUUAAUAUCGUAUUAAUCAUUAUCAUACUUUAAAUGUAAUAUGUUAAUCGAACAACUGAUUAACCAACUUGCUCGAGUAAUCGAAUAAUCGCACAACCCUAAAGCAAACCCAUAUUUCAUAAUUGUUUACAUUUUCAUUAACUCUUAUAGAGCAAUUGUUGCCCGCUGUUUCCAAGCAUCAAUACAGCCUAUAUUGCUGAAAAUGUUCCUAAAUCUAUUACAAAACAACCAACCCAACAGCGCCCUUACACUGUGCGGGCGUUUCGCUGUAAACCAAUAAAAAACAAUUGAAUUUGUGAGUGCCGGUGCUGUUGUGAAGGGUUAUUCAUGGAUACCACAAAAAGAGAUACAAAACUACAUCAAUGCUGUUGGCAUAAUACUCGCUUCUCUGCCUGAGAAAUAUUGGAAUGCAAAUGAUCACCAUAGUGAGCCGCUGAUACCUAUGUGUCUUCAGUUGGUAAUUGCAUAGUUACCGCCGCGAGUGCGGUUCACAAUGCUCUUUGCCGCAUUCUUUUUGGCAUGGUCGUUUGUUGAACCAGCCCACAUAACAGACGCUCAUUUGGCAAGUUCUAUUUCCGUUGCUUGAUAAUGUGCGUGCGCUUUCCAGUACGGGAAGCAGUUAGAGGUGCAAAACUAUCGAUGGCACUAUCGAUAGUAUCGAUGUUUUUUAUUUUUCCCUACUAUCGAUUGUUUUUUGGUCCUAUCGAUAGUCCGACAGACAUGUGAUUCAGUAUUUAUUUAAGUUUUAUUUCUUCUUUUCUUUUCAUUUCU